UGGCGUUUCGGUUCUCAAUUUUGCUAUAAACAAGAAUCAUUUGGUACAUGAAUGACUACAAUUUGAUUCAACAUAUCUCGUACGAGGGGCUGGAAUGAUUAACAAUCGAAGAUUCAUUUGAAAAAACUGAUAAAAUACCUUCCGAGUUUUCUUCAUUUUUUUGGCGAAAACAGGGUUUUAUUAUAUUUUAUUUCCGCAAAUUGUACGCAUAUUUUGCUUUAAAAAUAAUAUUAUAGCAAACUGUAACUUUAUGUUAACCUAUAAAAAAAAAUCACGUGUGGCACUCGGGGACUGCCGCGGUAAAGCUAUUGCAUAGCAUUUUGUAUCAACUUAUGCAAUUAUAAUUAUUUAUUUAUUUUAUUUAUGCAGUAUUUCUUUUUCUUUGAUAUUAAUACCACCAUAACCAACCACCAGUAAACCAGUAUAACGAUAUGAUCUCAGUUGAUAGGGAUCUCGAGGUUUCACUUCUGAUGGUUUUUCGGAAAAGACAAGUACGCUUGACAAGAGAUAAUGUAAACACUGGUAAUUCGUAGUUACUCCUGGUAUUUAUAUAUUCCAAUCGUUCACCGAGCGCACGACUCAAGAUAACCAAUAUAAAAGUGUGAACCUUGUUUAUUCAUAGUUACGAUACGUAUACGGAUUCACUUAUAUUGGACAAGUUGUAAGUCAUGGGAAUAAGCGCCUUCAACGGCGCGGCGGUCUUUAUUAGGUAGCGUCAGGAAACAAAUAUUUAUAAAAAAUAUACGAAAUUAAAAUAAAUAGGCACUUUAUUUAUUUUAUGGAAAACAAUUUUUUUUCGCUAACACAUUAAAUAAAAUAUGUAAAACUGUAUGUAUUUUAUAUGUAAAACCGAUAGUUUAUCUAUACAAUUAAAAAAAAUAUGCGGAGAGGGCGGUAUAAAAAGGAAAAUUAUAAUGUAUGGAGAAAAAAAUUUUUCAUCAAAAACGAAACCGAGCAUCAUUUUUAAUUUUCACAAUUCAAUCGCUAGGCAUUUCCACAGCUGCAGCUCGUUUUAAAAUAGAAAUAAGUGAAAGUUUUUUCUCUAAACAUUAUAGUUUUCAUUUUUUUAACGUUAAUACUGAUUUUGAAGUUAUAUUUUUUUAAAUCAUUCCCUAUCGAAGGCGAAAUUAGCAAUGUCCCAC